rnacentral:rRNA from 1 species
UACGUAGGCAGCAAGCGUUGUUCGGAGUUACUGGGCGUAAAGGGUGUGUAGGCGGUUCUCUAAGUCUGGUGUGAAAUCUCCCGGCUCAACUGGGAGGGUGCGCCGAAAACUGGAGGACUAGAGUGCGGGAUGGGAGAGUGGAAUUCCUGGUGUAGCGGUGAAAUGCGUAGAUAUCAGGAGGAACACCUGUGGUGUAGACGGCUCUCUGGACCGCAAUUGACGCUGAGACACGAAAGCGUGGGUAGCAAACAGG